rnacentral:rRNA from 1 species
CAGUAGCCACGGGAAUACAGAGGGUGCAAGCGUUAAUCGGAAUUACUGGGCGUAAAGCGCGCGUAGGUGGUUUGUUAAGUUGGAUGUGAAAUCCCCGGGCUCAACCUGGGAACUGCAUCCAAAACUGGCAAGCUAGAGUAUGGUAGAGGGUGGUGGAAUUUCCUGUGUAGCGGUGAAAUGCGUAGAUAUAGGAAGGAACACCAGUGGCGAAGGCGACCACCUGGACUGAUACUGACACUGAGGUGCGAAAGCGUGGGGAGCAAACAGGAUUAGAGACCCGCGUAGUCCCUGUCUCUUAUAC